UACACUCCUACGGGAGGCAGCAGUGGGGAAUUUUGGACAAUGGGCGAAAGCCUGAUCCAGCAAUGCCGCGUGAGUGAAGAAGGCCUUCGGGUUGUAAAGCUCUUUUGUCAGGGAAGAAACGGUGAAAGCUAAUAUCUUUUGCUAAUGACGGUACCUGAAGAAUAAGCACCGGCUAACUACGUGCCAGCAGCCGCGGUAAUACGUAGGGUGCAAGCGUUAAUCGGAAUUACUGGGCGUAAAGCGUGCGCAGGCGGUUUUGUAAGUCUGAUGUGAAAUCCCCGGGCUCAACCUGGGAAUUGCAUUGGAGACUGCAAGGCUAGAAUCUGGCAGAGGGGGGUAGAAUUCCACGUGUAGCAGUGAAAUGCGUAGAUAUGUGGAGGAACACCGAUGGCGAAGGCAGCCCCCUGGGUCAAGAUUGACGCUCAUGCACGAAAGCGUGGGGAGCAAACAGGAUGAGAAACCCGAGUAGUCCCAUG
rnacentral:rRNA from 1 species